rnacentral:rRNA from 1 species
UUUUAUGGAGAGUUUGAUCCUGGCUCAGGAUGAACGCUGGCGGCGUGCCUAAUACAUGCAAGUCGAGCGAACGGACGAGAAGCUUGCUUCUCUGAUGUUAGCGGCGGACGGGUGAGUAACACGUGGAUAACCUACCUAUAAGACUGGGAUAACUUCGGGAAACCGGAGCUAAUACCGGAUAAUAUUUUGAACCGCAUGGUUCAAAAGUGAAAGACGGUCUUGCUGUCACUUAUAGAUGGAUCCGCGCUGCAUUAGCUAGUUGGUAAGGUAACGGCUUACCAAGGCAACGAUGCAUAGCCGACCUGAGAGGGUGAUCGGCCACACUGG